rnacentral:rRNA from 1 species
AGCAGCCGCGGUAAUUCCAGCUCCAAUAGCGUAUAUUAAAGUUGUUGCAGUUAAAAAGCUCGUAGUUGAAUUUCGGGGUCAGCGGGUUGGUCGUGCCUACGGCAUGUACUGGCUCUACUGAUUCCUCCUUCUUGAAGAACUGUAAUGUCAUUAAUUUGGUGUCGCAGGGAAACAGGACUGUUACUUUGAAAAAAUUAGAGUGUUUAAAGCAGCCAA